rnacentral:rRNA from 1 species
CCUACGGGGGGCAGCAGUGAGGAAUAUUGGUCAAUGGCCGUAAGGCUGAACCAGCCAAGUAGCGUGAGGGAAGACUGCCCUAUGGGUUGUAAACCUCUUUUAUGCGGGGAUAAAGGUGUCCACGUGUGGCUGUUUGCAGGUACCGCAUGAAUAAGGACCGGCUAAUUCCGUGCCAGCAGCCGCGGUAAUACGGAAGGUCCGGGCGUUAUCCGGAUUUAUUGGGUUUAAAGGGAGCGUAGAUGGGGUGUUAAGUCAGUUGGGAAAGUUUGGGGCUUAACCGUAAAAUUGCAAUUGAUACUGGCAGUCUUGAGUACAGUAGAGGUAGGCGGAAUUCGUGGUGUAGCGGUGAAAUGCUUAGAUAUCACGAAGAACCCCGAUUGCGAAGGCAGCUUACUAGACUGUGACUGACGUUGAUGCUCGAAAGUGUGGGUAUCAAACAGGAUUAGAUACCCCGGUAGUC